AACGAACGCUGGCGGCGUGGCUAAAACAUGCAAGUCGCACGCGAAAGUGGAGCAAUCCGCGAGUAGAGUGGCGAAAGGGUGAGGAAUAUAAGGGUAACGUACCCUGAGCACCGGGAUAGCUGCGGGAAACUGCGGGUAAUACCGGAUGAGACCACGACAUCACAAGAUGAUGCGGUCAAACGGUGGGGAUCCUUCGGGACCUAUCGGCUCGGGAGCGGCCCUUAUCCUAUCAGCUAGUUGGUGAGGUAACGGCCCACCAAGGCGACGACGGGUACCGGGACUGAGAGGUUGACCCGGCACAUUGGCACUGAGACACUGGCCAGACUCCUACGGGAGGCUGCAGUAACGAAUAUUGGGCAAUGGGCGAAAGCCUGACCCAGCGACGCCGCGUGUGGGAAGAAGUCCUUCGGGGCGUAAACUCCUGGACUGGGGGACGAGGAAGGACGGUACCCCAGUAGAAAGGGACGGCUAACUACGUG
rnacentral:rRNA from 1 species